UUAAAUGAAUUGACGGGGACCCGCACAAGCAGCGGAGCGUGUGGUUUAAUUCGUUGCUACACGAAGAACCUUACCUGGGUUUGACAUAUAAGUUGUAGGGAACUGAAAAGGGACCGACCCUUCGGGGAGCUUAUACAGGUGUUGCAUGGCUGUCGUCAGCUCGUGUCGUGAGAUGUUCGGUUAAGUCCGCUAACGAGCGCAACCCUCGCCGUAUGUUACAAGUGUCAUACGGGACUGCCGGUAAAAAGCCGGAGGAAGGUGAGGAUGAUGUCAAGUCAGCAUGACCUUUAUAUCCAGGGCUACACACACGCUACAAUGGUCUGUACAAUGGGUCGCCAAGCCGCGAGGCGGAGCCAAUCCUCCAAAACCGGCCUCAGUUCAGAUUGUAGGCUGCAACUCGCCUGCAUGAAGUUGGAGUUGCUAGUAAACGCAGGUCAGCCAUACUGCGUUGAAUACGUUCCCGGGGCUU
rnacentral:rRNA from 1 species